UACGGGGGGGGCAAGCGUUGUUCGGAUUCAUUGGGCGUAAAGGGUGCGUAGGUGGCGCCGUAAGUCGGGUGUGAAAUUUCGGAGCUUAACUCCGAAACUGCGUUCGAUACUGCGGUGCUUGAGGACUGGAGAGGAGACUGGAAUUCAUGGUGUAGCAGUGAAAUGCGUAGAGAUCAUGAGGAAGACCAGUGGCGAAGGCGGGUCUCUGGACAGUUCCUGACACUGAGGCACGAAGGCCAGGGGAGCAAACGGG
rnacentral:rRNA from 1 species